rnacentral:rRNA from 1 species
UACGGGGGGUGCAAGCGUUGUUCGGAUUUAUUGGGCGUAAAGCGCGUGUAGGCGGUUUGUUAAGUCUGAUGUGAAAGCCCUGGGCUCAACCCAGGAAGUGCAUUGGAUACUGGCAGACUUGAAUACGGGAGAGGGUAGUGGAAUUCCUGGUGUAGGAGUGAAAUCCGUAGAUAUCAGGAGGAACACCGGUGGCGAAGGCGGCUGCCUGGACCGAUAUUGACGCUGAGACGCGAAAGCGUGGGUAG